AGAACGAACGCUGGCGGCAUGCCUAAUACAUGCAAGUCGAACGAACACUUCGGUGUUAGUGGCGCACGGGUGCGUAACGCGUGGGAAUCUGCCCUUGGGUUCGGAAUAACAGUUGGAGACGACUGCUAAUACCGGAUGAUAUCGAAAGAUCAAAGAUUUAUCGCCCAGGGAUGAGCCCGCGUAGGAUUAGCUAGUUGGUGAGGUAAAGGCUCACCAAGGCAACGAUCCUUAGCUGGUCUGAGAGGAUGAUCAGCCACACUGGGACUGAGACACGGCCCAGACUCCUACGGGAGGCAGCAGUAGGGAAUAUUGGACAAUGGGCGAAAGCCUGAUCCAGCAAUGCCGCGUGAGUGAUGAAGGCCUUAGGGUUGUAAAGCUCUUUACCCGAGAUGAUAAUGACAGUAUCGGAGAAUAAGCCCCGACUAACUCCGUGCCAGCAGCCGCGGU
rnacentral:rRNA from 1 species